CAUGGCGGCGUGCUACCAUGCAGUCGAACGUGAUCCGCCCUUCGGGGUGGUGAAAGUGGCGCACGGGUGAGUAACGCGUGGAUAAUCUGCCCGAGGAUUUGGGAUAACAUCUCGAAAGGGGUGCUAAUACCGAAUAAGCCCACGGGGUCUACGGAUCUUGCGGGAAAAGGGGGGGACCUUCGGGCCUCCUGUCCUUGGAUGAGUCUGCGUACCAUUAGCUAGUUGGUGGGGUAAUGGCCUACCAAGGCGACGAUGGUUAGCUGGUCUGAGAGGAUGAUCAGCCACACUGGAACUGAGACACGGUCCAGACUCCUACGGGAGGCAGCAGUGGGGAAUUUUGCGCAAUGGGGGAAACCCUGACGCAGCAACGCCGCGUGGGUGAUGAAGGCCUUCGGGUCGUAAAGCUCUGUCUGGAGGGAAGAAAUGAUUGGGAGCUAAUACCUCUUGAUCUUGACGGUACCUCUGAAGGAAGCACCGGCUAACUCCGUGCCAGCAGCCGCGGUAAUACGGAGGGUGCAAGCGUUGUUCGGAAUUAUUGGGCGUAAAGCGCGUGUAGGCGGUCUUUUAAGUCUGAUGUGAAAGCCCCGGGCUCAACCUGGGAAGUGCAUUGGAAACUGGGAGGCCUGAGUACGGGAGAGGAGAGUGGAAUUCCUAGUGUAGGAGUGAAAUCCGUAGAUAUUAGGAGGAACACCGGUGGCGAAGGCGGCUCUCUGGACCGAUACUGACGCUGAGACGCGAAAGCGUGGGUAGCAAACAGGAUUAGAUACCCUGGUAGUCCACGCCGUAAACGAUGAGUACUAGUGUUGCGGGUAUUGACCCC
rnacentral:rRNA from 1 species